rnacentral:rRNA from 1 species
CCUACGGGAGGCAGCAGUGAGGAAUAUUGGUCAAUGGGCGGGAGCCUGAACCAGCCAAGUCGCGUGAGGGACGACGGUCUUCUGGAUUGUAAACCCUUUCUGUCGGGGAACAAAGGCGCCCACGGGUGGGCUGAUGAGUGUACCCGAAGAAAAAGCAUCGGCCAACACCGUGCCAGCAGCCGCGGUAAUACGGAGGAUGCGAGCGUUAUCCGGAUUUAUUGGGUUUAAAGGGUGCGUAGGCGGACAGUCAAGUCAGCGGGAAAAAUGCGGUGCGAAACGCCGUACAGCCGUUGAAACUGGCAGUCUUGAGUGGGCGAGAAGUAUGCGGAAUGCGUGGUGUAGCGGUGAAAUGCAUAGAUAUCACGCAGAACUCCGAUUGCGAAGGCAGCAUACCGGCGCCCGACUGACGCUGAGGCACGAAAGCGUGGGUAUCGAACAGGAUUAGAUACCCUAGUAGUC